AUGAGUCUCUCUUAGUGAUGCAGUGGAAAAACGAAAAUAUUCAACGCACUCCAUAAACUGUUUUUACUGAGAAUAUUGGAUAUUUGGGGGUCAAAUAUUCGUUGGUUCUAACAAAGAAUACCAAAAAUUUAACAAGAUGAAAAAACUUUCAAUUUUAUCCAAUUAUCAACCAACAAAAAAAGUCUACUUGUUAAGUGUUUAUGUAGAAAACCUAGAUGAGAAAAAAAUCCUAACUUGCAGAAUGACUCAAGUGCUCUUUGUUAUAAUUUAAAAUGAAAGAAAUGAAACAAUAAUAAAUUUAUGAAAGCAAUUAAAAAAAUCCCUGAUUUUUUUUUGAGUUUAGACUUCAUCACUUCACCAGUCCUCAAAGUAUCAAAUCGUAGUUUCAGUUUAAAUGCAGGACAAUCUUUUUUCAUUACUGAAGAAUGCACUUCAUUUCAUCCUUUUGUCUACCAGCAGAGUUGCAAUGGUGCCAGUUACCUAUUCCCAAUCCCUCAAGAAACUCCGGUUCUUGCCUUCUUUAUGCAUUUGGUGGUAAUAGAAUUAUGCAACUCAAAACCAUAUACUUCGUUAUGUAGUUUUAUUAUAUUCGGAUAUAUAAUUUAUACAGGCUUUAUGUAAAUAAAAGUGUUUGGCCGAAAGAUAAAAUAGGAAAAAACCUUCUGCUGGUGUCAUUUCAUCUCCUGUUAGUGUUUAUUGGGUUCAAAUGUCAAAAUCCAGUUGGUAAUUAUAAUUGUCAUAGAGCUAGUAUUAAUAGAUUAUUUUUAAGAUGUAUUCUACAGUCAGUCGAAGGGGUCAUCAAGCUUAUGUACUUUCCAUAUUGCAAUUUAGCAAUGAAAGAGAUGGAAUGGCUACAUAUUUCCAUUUCAGUUUUGUGAAAGUUUAUCAUCACGUUGAGGAUAGUAUUCUGUUAAGAGAGAGAGCUUCGAUGAGCUGCAUGGUUAAACUCCUAUGGGAUCCUAUAACAUAGUUCCUUUCUUCUCCAAUGCAAUUCAGCAUGCACAUGCAUACGGAGAAGGGGUAGCAAAAGAAAAUAUGAUGUCAAGCAGUUCAUACAUCUUUCUCCCAAGAUUGGGCCUUUUCUUUUCUUCUUAUUGUUCUUUUGGGGUGGGGGUGGUAUCUUAUAAUUGAAUUUAUCGUAUUUUUGUAUGGAAUCAAACUUCAGAAUACAAUAUGGUUCUCAGAGUCCUUUUAUUGUCCCUCUUGAUAAUAAAGUUGUACGGGCACAGCGCAAUCUAGUUUUUGGUCUGCUCUUGCGGAUCCUUUUGCAUGUUAUAUUGGUGUGUUCUGAAG
rnacentral:lncRNA from 1 species